AACAUUCACACACUGGCUGGCGGAACAGCCGCCAGGGGCAAUUCGGGGGUUCAGUAUCUUACCCAAGGUCACUUCAACACGCAGCCUGGAAGAGCCGCUGACCUUCUGAUUAACGGGCAACCCGCUCUACCUCCUGAGCCACAGCCGCCACAGCUUUUAGCUUAGUUUGCCCUGUAGCUUAAAAUGUGGCACACUGCUGUAAACUGAGACGAACCAGCUGCUCCUCUCUACCAGGUAAGGUUACCUGCUGGCAGUAACGUUAAAUAACUGCAGAGAGAGAAGGAGGAGGACAGGAGGAAAUUAAGACUGAAGCAGACUGAUAUCUUCAUUGUAAACAUCACUGUGGUGUCAGAUAUUUGCUUUAUAUUGACUUAAUACAAACCGUAUAAUGAAUUUAAAAACACCCAGGCAGCCAAUAUGCGCACUUCAAUAUUUUUUUAUUCAUGGCAAGUCAUCAUCUCAAUAUAUAACAGUGUUAUCGCAGAUUUUCCUCUCAUCGUAGAGGCCUACCUUCAUCGCGUCAUGUCUUAUUUGGUCUGUUGGUUGUUUGCUGGGAUGGCUGAACACGCAAAAUGGUCAGAGGCUCAGAUACAUUUUAUUUAAAGCCAGAGAUAGUGCUAGCAGUGAAUAUUUACAGACUAAAGAAGUGUUGCAGGCUGCGGUUGUUAAUGCUGGUUUGAAGUCAGUAAAUUAGAGAGCUGUCUGUUGUGGUAAUGCUAAUAAGUUAAAUUAUACACGCACACACACAGUAAAAUCAUGUUUCAAAACAGCUACUCCUACUUUCUGCCGUAAUGUAAAUAUUCAAGCUUACAGUGUGCAAGCGGUGUGCAUUUAAUUAGACAUUCUCAUUGGUGUACUUACAGUAUAAUAUUAAUGCACAAUUAUUCGAAAUAUGGCCAGUGAAUUGCAGAAGCUAGUUUUUUCAAUGAAGGUCAAAAACUGCAUCAUGAUGAAUUACAGUAGUUCUGAAAAGAUGCCCUGGAUUACAAAUCUUGUUCUCAAGAUUUAAGAAGUCAUGUUUGUUUUGUUACAGACCUCAAUUUCUUUGACAUAGUGAUAUAUUUAAUUGUUUAUUCAGUGAAGUUUAAAUUUGAAGUUCUAAUAUAAUAAUUCCCACACUAAUUGUGAGUUAUAUGGCAAUAUCAUGUUUUUACCAAUAAUUUGUCGUGACCAGUUAUUAGUUUCAUGGUCAAAAGGUAUCAAUGAGUGUGUUUUGGGUUAAACCCUUUGGUUAUCUUGAGAAUUUCAUGUGGGAUGACUCAGUUUGUGUUUUUUCCCUAAGCUUUCAUCGAGUUCUCCAUCCCAGCUGGCAGCGGAGGCAUUAGUUUAUGAUGAGAAGGGGAUGCAGACGUCUCUGAAGAAGUAGCACAGCAACCCAGUGAUGGUGUAUUUACUGUCAGAUCUGACAACGAUUCCAAGGGGACAACCUCUCCCAGCUUUUCCCAGUCCACCAGGCCACUGCUUGAUGGCGUAACCAACUCAGCACUGUACGUUUCAGGAUAAGGAAUGAAGCGCUUCCAGAAAACGACACAAGGCUGAUGAUGAUGUCAAACAUUUAAUUGAAUCUGCACUGACCAAGAAACCUGGUGGAGGUCGUAUCAUCAAGGCAAAGAAAGCUCUGACUGACUCCUCACGGCAACAGAUGGUUAAAGGAUAAUCUCAGUAUUUUUAAACCUGGGCCCCAUUUUCACUUAUUUUGGUGUUGAAAUUACUCAUAAGUACAGGAAGUUUUAAAUCAGUGCAGUAGAUGGAUUCCAGGAGACACUCUGUUUUUAGCAGGAAGCUGAAAUCUCAAAGACAAAUCUCUCUCUAAAUUCUCGUGAGACACAUUCAACUCAAACACACAGCAGGCACACGCCGGCAUCACAACUCUCUUGGUAUUCGGUAGAUUUUGGUUAAAGUUGAUUGGUAGAAUCCAAAUGAUGGCAUGAUAAUGGUGUUUGUUAUGGGCUACAAUUCUCCCCUGGAAUGCACUUUAAACAUUUUCAGUGUUAAAAGUGUCUUUUAACAACAAUUUCAGUAUUUAAAAUGAAUGUGCAGUAUAAUAGUGAGUGCUAAAGGAGAUGUCACACUCAAACAGAACUACAAACUAAACCUUGAGGGUAAAUGUUUUUAUUUUUAAUAAAUUAUAUGGAUUACAUGAA